AACAAACGCUGGCGGCGUGCCUAAUACAUGCAAGUCGAACGGGGAAAGCUUUCGGGUGAGUACUAGUGGCGCACGGGUGAGUAACGCGUGGAUAAUCUGCCUUAGAGUGGGGGAUAACUAGUCGAAAGAUUAGCUAAUACCGCAUAAGACCACAAGAACUGCGGUUCAAGGGGUCAAAGGUUUUUCGCUCUAAGAUGAGUCCGCGUAAGAUUAGCGAGUUGGUAGGGUAACGGCCUACCAAGGCGACGAUCUUUAACUGGUCUGAGAGGAUGAUCAGUCACACUGGAACUGAGACACGGUCCAGACUCCUACGGGAGGCAGCAGUAGGGAAUAUUGCACAAUGGAGGAAACUCUGAUGCAGCGACGCCGCGUGAGUGAUGAAGGCCUUCGGGUCGUAAAGCUCUGUCGCAAGGGAAUAACACAAUGAAGGUACCCUGUAAGAAAGGAUCGGCUAACUUCGUGCCAGCCGCCGCGGUAAGAC
rnacentral:rRNA from 1 species